rnacentral:rRNA from 1 species
UGGGGAAUAUUGCACAAUGGGCGAAAGCCUGAUGCAGCGACGCCGCGUGAGGGAUGACGGCCUUCGGGUUGUAAACCUCUUUCAAGCAGGGAAGAAGCGAAAAGUGAACGGUACCUGGCAGAAGAAGCGCCGGCUAACUACGUGCCAGCAGCCGCGGUAAUACGUAGGGCGCAAGCGUUGUCCGGAAUUAUUGGGCGUAAAGAGCUCGUAGGCGGUUAGUCGCGUCUGCUGUGAAAAUCUCGAGGCUCAACCUCGGGCUUGCAGUGGGUACGGGCUGACUAGAGUGCGGUAGGGGUGACUGGAAUUCCUGGUGUAGCGGUGGAAUGCGCAGAUAUCAGGAGGAACACCGAUGGCGAAGGCAGGUCACUGGGCCGCAACUGACGCUGAGGAGCGAAAGCAUGGGGAGCGAACAGGAUUAGAUACCCUGGUAGUCCAUGCCGUAAACGUUGGGCACUAGGUGUGGGGUCCAUUUCCACGGAUU